GACGAACGCUGGCGGCGUGCUUAACACAUGCAAGUCGAGCGAUGAAGUUCUUUCGGGAAUGGAUUAGCGGCGGACGGGUGAGUAACACGUGGGUAACCUGCCUCAUAGAGGGGAAUAGCCUUCCGAAAGGAAGAUUAAUACCGCAUAAGAUUGUAGUUUCGCAUGAAACAGCAAUUAAAGGAGCAAUCCGCUAUGAGAUGGACCCGCGUCGCAUUAGCUAGUUGGUGAGGUAACGGCCCACCAAGGCGACGAUGCGUAGCCGACCUGAGAGGGUGAGCGGCCACAUUGGGACGGGGACACGGCCCAGACUCCUACGGGGGGCAGCAGUGGGGAAUAUUGCACAAUGGGGGAAACCCUGAUGCAGCAACGCCGCGUGAGUGAUGACGGUCUUCGGAUUGUAAAACUCUGUCUUCAGGGACGAUAAUGACGGUACCUGAGGAGGAAGCCACGGCUAACUACGUGCCAGCCGCCGCGGUAA
rnacentral:rRNA from 1 species